UUUAAUCCAUACAGUGAUUUUCUUAAUCGA
rnacentral:sRNA from 1 species